ensembl:lncRNA
GAGCAGAGGGGAGGAAGAUGGCACCUGUGUUUCUGUUCCGGUGCUGGAUCCAGUAUGAUGGUGAUAGAAGAGGAACAAGGAUCUGAACUCUACAGCCCAGCAGGGUCUCUGAGGACUGUAUGAACACAGUGACAGGAGUAUCGGCGGAGUGAAUGACAGAAGGGGGAGGCUGAAGAGCUGACUGUCAGACUCACUCAGAUACCAAUGUGCAAUUCUGGAUCACUCUGACACUCAUCUGAUAUUAGGUGACGGGACAAAAUAGAAGGAGAGUGGAAGAUGAGAACUACAUCUCCCAAACAUGUAGUGAACUGAUAAAAGGGGUUCAUGGCCCCAAAACACUAACCUCAGGUUUACCCUGAGAUAUGUUGAGUGUUUGGAAGCUGUGUGUUGACUAGAUGAUGCAGCAGAUUUUGAGGGACAUGUACAUCGAUCUGGAAUUGCUGGCAGAGCUCAACGAGGAGCAGAAGCAGAUCAUGUUCUAUAAGGAGCAGGAAAGGCACUGGGAUGAGAGGGAGAACCAGAACCAGGACCAGGCCAAGUAGGGCAGCAUGAGAAGUAUCCAGUAGCUGCAGGGCAGUGAUGGGGAUGUGUGUGGGUGAUGGGCGACGCCCCUGGAGAUGAGCCUUAUGAUGACAUCAUUAAGGAGCUGAUGGGGGGAGAAAGCCAGACGGCAGAUUCAGCAGGAGGCCAAGGAGCUCUGGUGACUGGGGAGGAGAAAGGAUGCCCACAUAACCCAGUGCAGGGAUUUGAAUGCCAAAGAAACGCGAGGAGGAGGAGAGACAUCAAGGUGAGGAGGACAUAAAACGUGCAGAGGAGAAGAGAGCGAGGGAGCUGUAUAUCUCCCUAGAGCAGGAACAAAGGAGUGAGAAUGAUGAGAAGGAAUGGGAGGCGCAACGUAAGUCAAGUCUUCCCUGCCUUUUCUCUCUACACCUGUUUUCCUUUCCAUUGAUCACCUCCUUCUCCAUCCCUCAUUUUUACAUGAACCUCUUUUAUUAAUUUCUGUCCCUCCCUAAAUGCCAACUCCAAAACUUUUGUUGCUAAUCCUCAAACUUUCCUACACCUGAAAACAUUAAAUGACCCCGGCAAUCGAUAGAACAUCACUCAUGGAUGCACAAAUAAUAUAUAACAUUCAUAAUUGGUGAAUCCAGUCUCCUUUUUACCUCAUUUAACCCCUGAUUUACAUAACAAAAGUCACAUCUCAAUAGGUGGUUCAGAUAAGUCAUGACAUACCACAAGUGGAGGGCUGGGCCUUUCCUUGUUUGUUCUUUAUUGUUUCUCAAGCAAGGGGGGGAGGCCGAUGACAUUACAACUUCCCAUCAAACCAACUAUUUGAAAGCCCUACUCGUUGAAGUAUGCAGUUGUGUUUAAAAAACACAAUCCUGCUUUAUUUGAAGUACGUGUUAUGAAGGCUUCAUAAAGCAUUCAUAUAUGUUUUGUAACCACUACAUUAAUGGCUCACAAAUCAUCUACAACCUUUUUUCAUGCUCUAUAAAGGAUCAAAACAUGUGAACAAAUAAAUUAGAUGGUUAUGUCACAUAGUUAUGCCACAUUAUGAAUCAUUCUAGAGCAUGAAAUACGGUUACAGAUGAUUUAUGACCCAUGUAUCUACUGCUUAUAAAGCCUUCAUAAGUUGUAGGCACGUGUCGCGUACAACCUGGCAGUCCCUGUGGGCAAUAGAGAAGGGCCGUGUGGCGGUACCUCCCUCAGGAGACAGCACUGUGCUAGAGUCAUCCUCCUCGACCACCCACAGCACAGAGCGUACCCACUGCCCCAGCCUCCAGCCUGCUGCUCCUCCGCUGUACCGCCGCGGACAGUGCCCGAAGACACAGCCUCACUGUUUCACAGCCACUGACGUACAGGACAGUUACAGAAUUGGCCUACUAUUCAUGAAUAUGUACACGGAUAGACAUAGCAUAAUUACUAUGCGGCACCCAAUCCAUAUACAGAUAAGAUGCAUAGAAUGGUGAUGUAAAAAAAAGUGUAUAAUAUAUAUCGAGAGAUACACAGAAGCAGACCCAAUAGACCCGCAAGGCUUUUUUUGUGCCUGGAACUCAUCUAAAGCAUGAUGCACCUUUAUCACGUCACCAUUAAAAGGCUUUGGGCAAUCUUAUAUAUUAUGUAUUUAUUUCUUAUUAUAAUAUCAUGUGAUUAUGCAUGCUUCACUUCUCUAUCUUCUCCUGUCUCGCCUGGGUGAGAGCCCCCCGGCUCAGCUCCAGAGAAUGUGUUCUGCUAUGGUUCGAAGAGGAGCAAAUGCCCAAACAGGCUGGCUAUGAGUGCAAUAGCACCACCACUACUGGUUCCAGGGAAGAGAUGAUCACCACAUCAGGAGAGCUUCAGCAGAAGGCAUGCAAACAGACAGACUCAGCCACGGACUAUGGGAAAUCUUCCAAUGACCCCCUCAACACCUUGUCAGUUCACUAUGAACCCCUUUGUGCUCCCUGAGAUGUCACUUUGACCUCACCCCCUUGGAUUCACACAGAGGGAGCUCAGGAGCUCCGAUUUCUCCAGGCGUGGAGCUAUGUCUUCCGACUCCUUCAGACGCCUUGGAUUCACACAUAGGGAGCUCAAGGGCUCUUCAGACUCCAACCGGACCACAGGACUGUCCAUAGACAUCCAUUCCCCCAGUAGCAUCUCACAUGCCUCACCCCCAGCUGUAUAGCAGUGAGGACUGUAUAACACAAAAGAUGAGUGAGCCAUUGAGAUAUAUAUCAUUUCUGCUUCGGGAGUUACACAAAUGAUUAGCAACAGUGCGAUUCAGGACAAGAUCCAGCUUUUAGGGAAAGAGCAGACUUGUGUACACAGGUAAGCAGACAGACACCCAGACACCAGAGGCAACAGGGAACAGAUGUGGAUUGAUAAAAGUGUCUAGCAUCUGUCAAAUACUCCAACUGACACAAUUUAUUUUUGAAUGCUAAGAUUAUCACUUUGUUCCUUAAGCAAAUUUAUGGUAAGAUGCUAAACACAAUUAGGCAAAACAAAGGUCUCAGGGAGUACUACAGCUUUAAAGUAGAGUCAUAGAGAACAUUGAACUUGUUUUUGUGCACUCAUCCCUAUAGGGAAUCUGUUGUCAUCCUGAUAGGGCUUUGUUCCUGGGCCAGACUGCAGUUGAAAGAGAGCAUUUGCAAAGAAAUCAAACUACGUAUAUCGAAUGAAUGCACAUCCUCCUCCCAUAGGUUAAAGCUACUAUGAGAAGGAAUUAAUCAUAAUGCAAACAGUGCAAUUAUUCACUGAGAUCCACCUUGAAUGAAUCUCUUGAAUGAAUGGUGCAAGUGCCCUCCUGUUCAGGAUAUAAGACUAUUGCUGCAGUAGCACUGACAGCUUUUUCCAUGCAACUGGUCCAGAGUGGGUAACCAGAGCUCCUCUUUUCCAACAGCCAGUAUCAUUCAGCAGUUAAGACAGCCAAUAGUUUUGUUAACAUCAGCACACACCCCCACGCACCCCAAAAACACACACAGACACACAUUCAAUCAUAAGCUCAGGUUUCCACAACACUGUAAAGAAUGCAUUCCUGGCUAGUAGAGAUGUGCUGCUGUAGUAAGCAGCAUGAGGGAUUGUUGUGUGGCAGGCAGCUCGAUUUGUCCAGCUUUAGGUAUCAUUUACUGGCAGUAGACCCAGCAUGAGUCAGUGAGCCAGGCAGUCAGUCUGUUUAGAGCAGCCAGUAGUCAGCCACAGCCACACAGCCAUUAAGUUACAUUAAAGUAUCACUCUGAACAUCAACCUCAUCAAAAACACCUCUCGCCAGGUCGUAAAUUGUAUGCAGCAGAGGACAUUUUUUUUACCCUUUAGUAUUGGUGAUUGGAAUGUAGCUUUGUUACAGAGACUUUUGCUGCCCAAAAACGUUUUAGUCCAAAAGUGAACACUGGAACAAUAUUCCUAACAUCCAAAUGUGGGGAAUGAUGAGAGAUGGUCUAUGGAAAACAAAUGUAUAUUUUGUGAUGUCAUUAAAAAUUAUAAUGAAAAUAUUGUAACUUGAACAGUAUACACAUUGUAUAUAUAUCAGGUUUUCAUCCUUUACGUUGUGAAGGAAAUAUCAAAGAUAAUGAGAGUAUUUUUGAGGAAGAGAGGAAUGUGAUUUUAGUUUUCUAGCGAGAUCAUAGUUUUGAUGAUACUUUGCCCCAGUAAGUAGCCAGGCCCGAGGGAGCUCAGAGUGUGUCAGCAUGACGGAAUCGCCCCCUUUUUACCAGAGUGUAUAAAGGAUGAGUUGAGACUCAAGCUGCAGCUUAGGUCUCCAUUGUUUACAACCCUGAAAAUCAACACAAGGUGAAGACGAUAAAGUAGCCUUUCUAACAAUCAAUGUUACGGCUGAGUAUCUGUUCUAAGUACCGUAUCUAAGAAAGUGAAUUUAAGUAGGACCAUCCUGUUACUCUCUUCAAACCAUUGUUGACUGCACUGCCCUCAUCACCCCACUGGGGAUCAUCGACAUCUGAUUAGCUGUAUUUAGAGGACCACUCUUCCAGAAUGAGUGAAAGCAAACACCACCCUGUUAGUUCUGCAUCAGACUACAGGACAAGGCAUUGAAGCCACGGCCAACUAAGAAGAAGGACAUUGUGACUUCUUGUGGUCAAUCAGAGCCUUACACUUAAGAGCUCGGGAGAAGGCCCAACUGAACCCUUUUCACAAAGGCCUCGGUCCAACAGAGAUAAAUGACGUUAAGAAGUCAUUUAAACACAUAAAUACAUUCAUUAUUUCGUACACCAAAUGGUCAGCGGUUCUUGGGCUAAGUAUUAGAAUUACUGUGAGCAUAGUUACAAGUGUUGUCACUCUUUCUUUCUCCCGUUUCCCCUCUCUACUCCUCCCUCUUUUGAUAUACAAGCAGUCAUGUUGCUUUUAGUCUGCUAGGGACCUGUUUCCAUCGUAUUAAGUUGCUAAUCAAUAACCUAUACCGAGUGUGUGUAUCCUGUGUUAUUAUUUAGUUAGUCAGUAAAUACAUCGUUAAAUACAUUUUUGUGGUACGGAAUGAUCAGUAAAGCUGGGGUUUGUCCAGAUAUGAGGAGUAUGCAAAGUUCAGAAUUAUGAGAAAGAUAUGAGGUAAUAAUUGUAAUAAAUUACUG